GUGGAUUAGAUACCCUAGUAGUCCACGCCAUAAACGAUGAGAACUGGAUGUCGGAGGGGUCUGCCCUUCGGUGUCGUAGCUAACGCGUUAAGUUCUCCGCCUGGGGAGUACGGCCGCAAGGUUGAAACUCAAAUGAAUUGACGGGGACCCGCACAAGCGGUGGAGCAUGUGGUUUAAUUCGAUGCAACGCGAAGAACCUUACCUGGCCUUGACAUCUGUCGAAUCCUGCAGAGAUGUGGGAGUGCCUUCGGGAACGACAAGACAGGUGCUGCACGGCUGUCGACAGCU
rnacentral:rRNA from 1 species